UUUUUUUUUUUUUUGAUCAGGGUCUUUCUAUGUAUCUCUGGCUGACCUUAAAUUCCCUAGAAAGUUAUUUACCUCUGCCUCUCACUUCCUGUGAUUAAAGAUCUUUGCCAGCAUGUCUGGGAGGACUUUUAUUUUUAAUGAACAUUUGGGGAGAGGACCUAAGUGUUUUUCUGGCCUAGGAAUGGCUGAUCAUUUGGUGGUGUUAGCUAAAUCUAGAAGAUCUUGGAAUCGGUAAAUGAGUUUCAUGGUUUUCUGCUAGUGUGAUGGUCAGCUUUAAUUGUCAUCUUGACACACUCUAGAAUCACCCGGGAAAGGAGUCUUCAUGAGGAGCUGCUUAAAUUAACUGGUCCAUGGACCAGUCUGUGCAGCAUUAUCUUGAUCACAUUAAUUGAUGUAUGAAGAUUCAGCCAAAAAGUGGCAGCAGUUCGCUGUACUUGGACCCUGGACUAUAUAAAGGAGGGGGUGAGCUGAGUGCAAGCACACAUACAUUUAUUUUCUCUCUGCUCUUGACUGGAUAUGGCUGUUUUGAGUUCCUGCUGCCUUGACUUCACAACAAUGAUGGACUGCAACCUACAGUUAUGAACUAAAAUAACUCCUUUCCCCGAGUUGCUUUUGUCAGAGCAUUUUAUCACAGCGACAGAACGGAAACUACAACAGGUAGGGAGCUUAAAUCACCUGAAAACAUUUUUUUUUUGUUAUUGUAAUAAUAUGGGUGGAAUACAUUUAUUUAAUAGAAAACAAAAAAAUACAGAUAAGCAGAAAAAAUCAUUAUCAAUUCCCAUAUUGUACUGUUUUGUAAAUUGUAUUAUUGAAAUCAAACAUAGCUGGACAUUAUUCAAGGAAAGAAAACAGAAUUUGAGGCUGAGAAUACAGUAUGUACAGAGCUCUGGGCUUCAUAGUCAACGUUUGCCAAAAGCAAAACUUAAAACAAAAAACAUGUUUGUUUUUGGUAACUAUUGAAAGUAGGAGAGGGAGCUGAAAUUCCCCAGUGUUUGCAGCAGUGAUUUAUGGGAGCGAGGACUGCCAGACUGCAGGGGACAGCUUGCCCUCAGCAGUUAGAGAAGGGAAGAAGCUAGGAGAAGCCAGUCAGAGUCAGCAUCUAACUAAAUGCUGCAUUCCUUUGGCCAAGCAGUGAAGUGGGGGAUCUGUCCUCCCUUAGUAGCUGGGAUCUGUCCUCCCUUCUAGUGGUUACAGUGCAAAGAACAACUCUCGGGGCCUUGAGACACAUGCUUCUGGGAUGGAGAAGAUGUUAUCACAAAGGUAAGUUCCUUAGGGAGUGCUCUAAGAACAUACAGCCUGGUCAGGUGCAGGCUAGACCACAUUGCACAUUUGGCUUGGAUUCAUGCCAGGGAAGGGGUCUUCCGAGCUGGAAGCUAAACUGGAGCUUGGUCCAGUCUGUCCAUGCACAGGUUUGGAAGGAGUUCAGCUUUGAAUUCCACUUGUCAGUGUCUUCAUAGUAUUUUGGCCUUUUAAAGCCUGUUCCUCCUCAGCAAUUACAUCGUGGGGAUGUGGAGAGAGUUUCCUUAGCCGUCCUUGCUCUUCUUAGUUUUGGUUAUUGUGUUUUCACAUGUAUGGAAGCUCAAGACAUUCAUGAGUCAAGUUCCCCAAUCUUAUCUGGGCUUUAAGCCUAGAAGCUUGACUGUAUUUGCUUUUAUACAUUUUCACGCCUCUGCUUCUCUGUGUUCAAUGUUUCUUCAUUUUGAGAGAGUGUAGUAUUGUGCUCUGACGUUUAUUUCCCAGCUCUGUGUUACAGCAUUUGGUUGCGCCUCUUCCUUUCCAUUUAUCUGCUGUCUUGACUGGACUUGCCCCCAGAUCUCUUCAUUUUUUUUUCUCUAUGAUUUAUUAUUCCCACUCCAGACUAAUUGUUUAAUUAUCAAAGCUUUAAAAAUAUUUUAAAACACAUAUUUAGGUAAGAAAACUUUAAUUACAAAUUUGUAAAAAUGAAUGCUUUCAUUGAUCCAAACAGCCUCAGUAACUUCUUUAACCUGUGAGCUUUUCUGGAUCCUGGUAAAAUUUUUGAGUAAUCUACACUUUCUUUUUAGUUGAAGCAUAGGCUGAAUACUUUUUUGCUGUUUUGAAUGAGGUUACCUCAGUGUGUAUGUAUAAACACACACACACACACACACACACACACACAUAU
rnacentral:lncRNA from 1 species